GGGCUGCAGCAGGGAGCCACGGAGGAGCGAGCGAGCGAGGCCGAGCUGAUCCGCGGCCGCCUUCGCAAUUGCGGUGCUCGCUGCUCAGUCAGUGCCAGCUCUCGCUGCCUGGCGCUCAGCUCCGGGGCCUGCAGGAGGGAUCCUGCUGGCAUGGCCGCGCUGCCUCCCCGCCCCUGGCGGAGCUGGGGUCCUCACGCCCUGUGUCACACAGACUCGUGAUGGUUUGCAUGGCCAGAUUUUGGUAGCAGGAGCACUACAGGGGUGCUCCUGUGAGAAGCUGCUAGAAGCUUUCUCUGUGUCCAACAGAGCUGAUGCCAGCCAGCUCCAAGAUGGACCCACCCAUGGCCCAGGCUGAGCACCAUCAGCAGCGGUGGCAGCACCUCUGGGAUAACAUUUAAAAAGGGAAAAAAAGACCCUGAGCAACAGAAACUGCAGCCAGAGAGAGGAGUGAGAGGAACAGCUCUGCAGACACCAAGCUCAGUCAGGAAGGAGGGGAAGCAGGCACUAGAGGCCCUGGAACAGAGAUUUUCCUGCAACCUGUGGUACAAACCAUGGUGAGGCAGCUGUGCCCUGCAGCCCCUGGAGUAACUCACACCAGAGCAGGUGGGUGCCUGUGGGAGGCUGUGACCCCACUAGGGGCCUAUGCUGGAGAAGACUCUUGGCAAGACCUGUGGAGAGAGGAACCCACACUGCAAAAGGCUUGCUGGCAGCAUCUGUGACCCUGGAGGGGACCUCCCCUGGAACAGGUCGUUCUUGAAGGGCUGCACCCUGUGGAAAGGACCCACACUGGAGCAGUUCAUGAACAACUGCAGCUCCUGUAAAGGACCAGCACUGGAGAAAUCGGUGGAGGACUGUCCCCUGGGAGGAAGUACCCAUGAUGGAGCAGGGGCAGAGCAUGAGGAGCCCUCCCUCCAGUGGGGAAGGAGCAGCAGAGACAUUAUGUGAUGAACUGACUGCAACCCCCAUUCAUUCACACCCCCUGCACCCCUGGAGGGGAGGAGGUAUAAAAUUUGUGAGUGGAAUUGAGCUUAGGAAGAAGGAAGGUGGUGAGGGAAGGUACUUUAAGAUUUAGGUUUAGUUCUCAUUAUCCCACUCUGAUUUCAUUGCUAAUAAAAUAAACUAAUUUCUCCAA